ACCACCGUAAACCGUAGCCUACGACAGUUUUGUCAACUGCCACCCUUCCCCUAUUUAAAGUCGUGACGGGUACUUCACCUGCCAUCCCCAAUAAAACCAUCCUAAAGCACAAUAAAACGCUAAAUACAUAAAAAUAUUUCCCUUUCUUCACCCCUGGGAUUCAAAGCUCAAAAUACUUCCUUCAACCUUUAAUUCAAAGCUCAAAAUACUUCCUUCAACCUUUAAUUCAAAGCUCAAAAUACUUCCUUCAACCUUUAAUUCAAAGCUCAAAAACUCCUCUCUCCACCAUAAUCAGUAAAUCAAAGCUCAAAAAUCCUUUGUUCUCCACCAACGAUUCUAAAAUUAAAAGAUUAAAAUCCCUUUCUUCAAUCUCCACCAAUAACAACAACACCAUUUGAAGAACGUCACCGAUUCGAAGAACCUUCAUGUUAUUGGCUUGACCAUUUGAAGAACGUCACCGAUUCAAAGGUAACUAACCGAUUCGAAGAACAUCACCGCCUUCGUUCCCUCUUCGUUCUUUGAAGCCCUGACUGAAGAGAAUCUUCUGUUUCUAAAGGCGUGGAGAACAUGCAUUGCGCUAUGAGCCCGUGAACAAUCGGAAGAGACGUGUAUGCCUUUGAUUUUCUACCUUUAACUCUAUUUUCUAAUUUGCUGAAUAAACACGGUGUUUUAUGAUGGUAGGUUAUUUAUGCUUUCAUCAUAGAAAAUCAUUUACCAUUGACUUUUAAGGAUUGAAUAAUGGAAUUACCAUAUUACUUUACCAUUGAAUAGUUUGAUGUUUGCUUCACGAGUAAAAACAGAGGCAUGGUAUCUUUUGGAAGGAAAUUCGUGAAAGAUGCUUCUUAUGAGUUCAUUGAUAACAUGGAAUUCAUCUCUCCAAGUCGACUUGUCGUUGUUCUCGCGUCAACUCCCCGAGGUGUCCUCAAAUCAACACUCAGAGUUGUCACCGCAACCAAGAGUCUCAUUUUUGACUCACAAUAACCAGGUUUGGUUGGUUUAAUGAUUUAAAAGACUUUAUUAUUCUUUAAUUUUUAGAUAGAGCUAACAUGCUUGUUCUAGACGAGAUAUUAAUCAUGUAUGGGUGAUUUCGUUUUCUAUAAAAUAGAGCUUGAACAUUAUAAGAAAUGUCCUUGUAUUUUAUGCGGUUGAGCUGUGUCAGGGCAUGAAUGCUGAAACAAAAAGGGUUGCUAAAUCUCUGUAUAAUAUGCAUGCUUCACAUAGUUUUAGCAUUUAUGAUCUGUCGAAAAUAAUGGCUUGUUUUUCAAAAUUGGCCGUGAGAAGAACAAAUGAUUUCAUGAUGGUCUAAAUUUAUAUGAUUACAUAAGCUAUCAACUUCUCUUGUUGAAUUAUUGGGGCAAAAAAAAACUAAUAUUUGAUUACUUAAUUAUCUUGAGAACAUUUUUUUCAUUCCCAAUAAUUGUAAAUUUCAUAACUGAAAUUCAUUAUUUGAGAGCACUUCAAUAUUCACACAACCUUGAGUUUAUUCCUUUUGACUACAAGCUAAGAGAAUAUACUGGUUAAAUGUCAUAAUAGGUGUGAGGCUGAACGCAUUGAUCACAGAAGUAUCUAUUUUGAGACAUGUAACCUUUUAUGAUAUACUCAUUAGUUUAGUGACCUGUUAGCAUGAUUGGUUUCAUUGUUAAAACGUUUUGCUAAUUACAUACUCCCUCUGUCUCAAAAUAAAUGUCACAUUUGAAAAAAAAAUUGUCCCAAAAUAAGUGUCACAAUCAACUUUUUAUCCAAAUAGUUCCAAUAUUACCCCUAAUAAUUAUUCUAUUUUAUUUUUGUAGGAUAGCUUUUUUUCAAGAUAUAAUUAAUGAAAAGGAAUAAAAAUGAACCUUGAGCAAUGCACGUAUUUAUUAUUUGUAGUCUUUACAUGUAAGGUACUAAUAACAUAGUUCAUUGUUUUUUGAUAUAGAGUAACGUUCAUUUUUUUGUUUCUAUAUAAUUAAAACAAAUUAUGAAAAGUAUACAGCAUCCUUACUCAUAGUUCUUGAAUUAAAUUGAAUAUGGAAAAAAAAUUAAUGAAAAUCAUGAAGUUGAAAGAGAUGCACUGUUGAAGCGGUAAAGCGGCAAGCAAAAAGUAAUAGGUAUUAUUUAUUACCGGGUGAUAUAGGUUAUAUCGUAUCGUAGUCCACAGAGAUUGGUGAGAUGAACUGCCGUUCGACUAUCUCGCGUUCUAAGUUUCAUGAUUUGGGUGCGGAAAGGUAAAUGCGGGAAAAGUAAAUAAAAGCAGAUAAACAAUCUCAAUAGUCUAAGAGAAAUAGUUAUGGAAUUGCAUUUCGUUCUACCCGUCGAAUACUUAAAUCUGAAGAUCUAUCGCUCGACACUCACAAUACGAAUCAACAUCACCGGGCAUCACUCGAGAUACCACAUCGGUGUCCAUGUCUGCAACACCGACGAAAGCUCAACCGUACUAUUCACAUCAGCGAUUUCUCCACCGACACAAACAACACGGAGGCAUUAGACUCGAUACCCACUACGAUUGUUAGUCCUGAAUCCAUGUCUGCAACCCAGAAACUAACAGUUAUCAUUCCUAAUCAAGAUCCAUGGUGUCCAUGUCUGCAACAACACAAAUCCAGAGCAUUUAAGCAAAAAGAUCAAGAACAACAACAAUGGUGAUUUGUAAAGAGAAUAUAUAAACGAUCCCAAGAUCCACAAAUAUACAUACAAUAAGAGUAGAAACAUACAUACAACACCCACCAUUGGAAUGAAACAAAGGGAAGAGAGAAGAUGAACUGGAAAGAUCUCACCGGUACAAUGAAAUCGAGUCAGAUCCAUGAUCAAUCCACUUGACGUCGCACCCAAUGGUGUUUCCUAAGCCUCUAAACUACUAAAAAAGGAUCAGAGCUCAACUUGUCAAGAAGAGGUGAUAAAAAAACCUAAAAAAUCUGUUAUUAACUAUUUAUACAAAACAGAGUUUCGCAGUGGGCGCGACGCGCCCUACUUCGGCGCGAUGCGCCCUUUAAAAAUUUAGCAAACCGCCCUCCGGCGCGACGCGCCCUAAUCCGGCGCGACGCGCCCUAACUUCUGCCAGACUAAGCUCUUCAAACUCAAAGAGGGCGCGACGCGCCCUACAGCGCGUGAAGCGCCCUGCACCAGAACAGCAGAAUUAUUUCCUCAAGGCUCUCGCAGCCGUGUCUUCGACACUUUAUUCCUCAAGGCUCCGAAAACGCAAGAAUACCUACAAAAAUACAACAAAACUAUCAAACGGUAUAAAAGUGUAUGAAAAUACAAGUAUUCGUAAAGUAAACGUAAUUACACAAAAACGGGAGAUUAUUCAAACGGUAUUAACAAAAAGCGUCGAUAAGUGCCACUAUUUACAUACACAAAAUAACUACAAUUUGGCACUUAACAACUCUCCCCAACUAGAAUUUGUUUGUCCUCAAACAAGGCCAAACACUCAAAUCGCAAAAGUAGAAAUCCAAAGAAUCAAAAAUCAACAACGUUUAGAAAAACGAAACAAUUGUACGGUUCAAAUAAAAACGCACAAACAAAGUAAACACUUACCACAAUCCUACAACGAACAUGAAAAUGAAACGAAUCCUAAGUACAAAAAUCAUAUAAAACAUUCUAAAACAAAACAAGCUCAAUCACGAAUUACGCCUAGCAAAAACUCAUCGGUAGAUGAAAAACACCGAAAGGUGAGGACUUUGACACACACCCGACAAACUUGCAAACAAAAGACAAAAUUAUGCAUUCAUCCAAAAAAUAGUAUCGAAAAUGCAACGGCACGAAUCACAAGGGCUUUAAAGGUUGUAAUGUGGCUCGGUUAACAAACAAAUGAUAAGUCCUAAAGCUAAUCGAAACAAAAACUUGCCUAAACCUAAGGGAGUAAUUACUUCCACAAAGUUUCAAACAAUAUAAUUUCAAUCAAAUUUCUUCUUUAUCACAAAUUGUCAAACCAAAACAUAAUACUUAUUAGCACAUUCUUAUUCAAAACUCUUUUUGUUCUUUUCUUUUUCAAGCUUUUCUCUUUUUUUCUUUCUUUUUCUUUUCUUUCUUUCUCUUUUUUUUUUCUUUUUCUUUUUCUUUUCUUAACCUCACAUCAAUCACAACAUAAAGAGGCAAACAUCUUCUCCCCAACUUGAAUUCAACCAUAACAUAAAGCGAAUACUCCCUACUUUCUAAGGCAAGGUAAAAAUCCAACUAAACAUCAUAGUUAAGGUCAAGAAAACAAAGAUAAUCAAAAUCCAUCAAAAAGGGUGAACUAUGUCUCAAGUUCAAAAACAAAAUGGACAAUUACAAAAAGGCUCAAAGGGGGUACGAAUGGUCACACACUCACAAGGUAAAAUGACAUUUGGCUUAUGGUAGUUGUGCUCAAAAUCAAACAAGUGCCUUGAUCACUUUCGUGCAUUCACAAAAUCGAUACAGACGAAAGAUUAAACAUAAUAAUAUCCAGUUAAAACAAGAAAUGUCGGUCACUCACAUAUAUACACAAUGGAAAGCCACCUCACAUUUAUGGUAAAAAAAGGGAAAAACUAAUUGUGAUUCAAGUCAUGAGCAAGUUAUGCAAAAAGAAUGGGUAAUAUGAAAUAUGUACAAAUGAAAAGUCUCCUAAACAUGCUAUGCUAUAGAAAGCGAUAAACGAGUACCUUGCAACGUACAAAUUCUAUCAAUCAUUACCGCACAACUGGCUUGUUGAAUCAAUCAAAAUCGAAGAAUUACCAAAUGCGACUCUAAGUAAUCGGGACAAAAUUUGAGUCUAAACACAAACAAAAGAAUUAAAAAUAAAUCGAUAAAAUACUAUACUAUAAAGCCUUGGUGUAAGUGGGAAAAAGGCGAGCCGAGUGACCCGUUAAAAAGAGGUCACUGGCCAAAAGCAACCCAGCGCGCGACGCACCCAUGAGCGCGCGACGCGCGCUACACCAGAAAAACCAGACCAGUCUAAAAAGACAGAUUUUCCAGUGAGCCACCACUUAACACCUACACAACUCAAUUACAGAAAAACAGAAAAAUAAAACCGUUGGGGUGCCUCCCAACAAGCGCUCGUUUAACGUCGUUAGCUCGACGCCUUUAUUGUUUCGCGAAUGGUAGGAAACUUCCUCGCGGUACGCCAAUGCUUUUGCCUCAAACGCAACCUAAAGAAAAUGACCUGCCCAAACACUUAAUCAAAACUAUACGAAACUUAAAACAUAAAACCAUCGCAAUGCGAUUAAUCUCAACCAAUCCCCGACAACGGCGCCAUUUUGUUGAAGCGGUAAAGCGGCAAGCAAAAAGUAAUAGGUAUUAUUUAUUACCGGGUGAUAUAGGUUAUAUCGUAUCGUAGUCCACAGAGAUUGGUGAGAUGAACUGCCGUUCGACUAUCUCGCGUUCUAAGUUUCAUGAUUUGGGUGCGAAAAGGUAAAUGCGGGAAAAGUAAAUAAAAGCAGAUAAACAAUCUCAAUAGUCUAAGAGAAAUAGUUAUGGAAUUGCAUUUCGUUCUACCCGUCGAAUACUUAAAUCUGAAGAUCUAUCGCUCGACACUCACAAUACGAAUCAACAUCACCGGGCAUCACUCGAGAUACCACAUCGGUGUCCAUGUCUGCAACACCGACGAAAGCUCAACCGUACUAUUCACAUCAGCGAUUUCUCCACCGACACAAACAACACGGAGGCAUUAGACUCGAUACCCACUACGAUUGUUAGUCCUGAAUCCAUGUCUGCAACCCAGAAACUAACAGUUAUCAUUCCUAAUCAAGAUCUAUGGUGUCCAUGUCUGCAACAACACAAAUCCAGAGCAUUUAAGCAAAAAGAUCAAGAACAACAACAAUGGUGAUUUGUAAAGAGAAUAUAUAAACGAUCCCAAGAUCCACAAAUAUACAUACAAUAAGAGUAGAAACAUACAUACAACACCCACCAUUGGAAUGAAACAAAGGGAAGAGAGAAGAUGAACUGGAAAGAUCUCACCGGUACAAUGAAAUCGAGUCAGAUCCAUGAUCAAUCCACUUGACGUCGCACCCAAUGGUGUUUCCUAAGCCUCUAAACUACCAAAAAAGGAUCAGAGCUCAACUUGUCAAGAAGAGGUGAUAAAAAAACCUAAAAAAUCUGUUAUUAACUAUUUAUACAAAACUGAGUUUCGCAGUGGGCGCGACGCGCCCUACUUCGGCGCGAUGCGCCCUUUAAAAAUUUAGCAAACCGCCCUCCGGCGCAACGCGCCCUAAUCCGGCGCGACGCGCCCUAACUUCUGCCAGACUAAGCUCUUCAAACUCAAAGAGGGCGCGACGCGCCCUACAGCGCGCGAAGCGCCCUGCACCAGAACAGCAGAAUUAUUUCCUCAAGGCUCUCGCAGCCGUGUCUUCGACACUUUAUUCCUCAAGGCUCUGAAAACGCAAGAAUACCUACAAAAAUACAACAAAACUAUCAAACGGUAUAAAAGUGUAUGAAAAUACAAGUAUUCGUAAAGUAAACGUAAUUACACAAAAACGGGAGAUUAUUCAAACGGUAUUAACAAAAAGCGUCGAUAAGUGCCACUAUUUACAUACACAAAAUAACUACAAUUUGACACUUAACAUGCACAUGAAGAUAAAGAAGAUUUUGAAGUUGAAAGAGUAGAGGAUUCUCUAGAUUUUGAAACAGGUGCAGAAGAAGUUAAAGAAGAUUUUGAAGAAGUUGAACAAGUGAAUGACUCGGGUGAAGAUAAUGAAGGUGUUGAAGUUGCUAUAGCAGAAGACAAUCCAAAUUUUGAGAGAGAAGAUGAAGAAAAUAAUGAAGAUAAUAACAUAGCACUCUUGAACAUUGAUUUAAAUGUGCUGGCACAUCCUGAUUUUGAUUUGAACGAAAUCCUUGAAGAAGAAGAUGAAGUAUUUCGAGAAAGAGGAGUAUUUGAUCCAGAAGCAGAAAUCAAAGAAGAGGUGAAGAAACUUAUAAAAAUAUGGGUUCCAAGAUUUUAAAUUUUUCAUAAUCGUGUAAUUUGGUUUUCAUUUUCUAUUGUUGCCAAGUUAUAAUUAAUCCUAUGAUUUUAAUUGUCUAUUUUUGCCAAGUUAUAAUUAUGAUUUUUAUUUCCUAUUUUUGCCAA